AUCUGCCUGGUAGUGGGGGACAACGUUUCGAAAGGAACGCUAAUACCGCAUACGUCCUACGGGAGAAAGCAGGGGACCUUCGGGCCUUGCGCUAUCAGAUGAGCCUAGGUCGGAUUAGCUAGUUGGUGAGGUAAUGGCUCACCAAGGCGACGAUCCGUAACUGGUCUGAGAGGAUGAUCAGUCACACUGGAACUGAGACACGGUCCAGACUCCUACGGGAGGCAGCAGUGGGGAAUAUUGGACAAUGGGCGAAAGCCUGAUCCAGCCAUGCCGCGUGUGUGAAGAAGGUCUUCGGAUUGUAAAGCACUUUAAGUUGGGAGGAAGGGUUGUAGAUUAAUACUCUGCAAUUUUGACGUUACCGACAGAAUAAGCACCGGCUAACUCUGUGCCAGCAGCCGCGGUAAUACAGAGGGUGCAAGCGUUAAUCGGAAUUACUGGGCGUAAAGCGCGC
rnacentral:rRNA from 1 species